UACGUAGGGGGCAAGCGUUGUCCGGAAUCAUUGGGCGUAAAGCGCGUGUAGGCGGCUUGGUAAGUCCGCUCUGAAAGCCCCGGGGCUCAACCCCGGGAGGCGGGUGGAUACUGUCAAGCUCGAGUCCGGAAGAGGCGAGUGGAAUUCCUGGUGUAGCGGUGAAAUGCGCAGAUAUCAGGAGGAACACCGAUGGCGAAGGCAGGUCUCUGGGCAUUAACUGACGCUGAGGAGCGAAAGCAUGGGGAGCGAACAGG
rnacentral:rRNA from 1 species